rnacentral:rRNA from 1 species
GUGCCAGCAGCCGCGGUAAUACGUAGGGGGCAAGCGUUGUCCGGAAUCAUUGGGCGUAAAGAGCGUGUAGGCGGCUUGGCAAGUCUGGUGUGAAAUCUUGCGGCUCAACCGCAAGCGGUCACUGGAAACUGCCUCGCUAGAGUCCGGAAGAGGAGAGCGGAAUUCCUGGUGUAGCGGUGGAAUGCGCAGAUAUCAGGAAGAACACCCGUGGCGAAGGCGGCUCUCUGGGACGGUACUGACGCUGAGACGCGAAAGCGUGGGGAGCGAACAGGAUUAGAUACCCUAGUAGUCC